UAAUAUGAUGAAACUGACAGGAUGUAUACGAUAAUGAGCUAGAUAUCGGUUUGUAGAUCAAUAGGAGAGAAAAAUGAAGGAUUACUGAUAACAAGCCACAGAAAGGGUUAAAAGGUUUCAUAUAAAAAACAGAGACAAAGUCACUAACACACCCGUCUCUCCUUUUCACUUUAAAAAGAACAGCUAUCUUCCUUCCCACCACCUCACCUCCACCAUAAACAAAUGCGAAAACACCCAUCUAAAAUUCCAUUUCUCUGUGCAAACAUCAUGGCCUAGCUGUUCUUGGAUCCGGAGAUUCUGGGUCUGUCGAAUUAUUUAUACAUGUAUUUAAAAACCAUAGCCCACAUUAAGACAUGAUUUGGUUUCUCUCAUUGUCCCUCCCUAGGCUCAAACCACCCUCCUUUCUGUUCCUCUCAUUGGAGUUCGUAGCAUAGCUGUAAUGCCUGUUAAUCCAUGGACCCUCUUCUCCUUCCUAAUCUUCUCUUUUUCAUUUUUAAUUCUCUUCCCCCUCAUGGCUUCCGCCAUCAACCAACAAGGCCAAGCUCUACUUUGGUGGAAGGGGAGCUUGAAGGAAGCGCCAGAGGCCUUAAGCAACUGGGACCAGAGCAAUGAGACUCCAUGUGGGUGGUUUGGGAUCUCUUGCAACUCAGACAAUCUAGUGGUGGAACUCAAUUUGAGGUAUGUCGAUUUGUUUGGGCCGCUUCCCUCUAAUUUCAGUUCAUUGACGUCCUUGAACAAGCUAGUCUUAACUGGAACCAACCUCACUGGUUCCAUCCCAAAAGAGAUCGGUGUUCUUCAAGAUUUGAAUUAUCUAGACUUGAGCGACAAUGCCUUAACUGGUGAAAUCCCAAGUGAGGUUUGCAGCUUGCUCAAGCUCGAACAGCUCUACCUCAAUUCAAACUGGCUUGAGGGAUCUAUCCCAGUCCAACUCGGGAACCUCACUAGCUUGACAUGGCUAAUUCUAUACGACAACCAACUGAGCGGUGCAAUUCCAAGUAGCAUAGGGAACUUGAAGAAGCUUGAAGUGAUUCGAGCAGGCGGCAACAAGAACUUGGAAGGCCCUCUGCCUCAAGAAAUCGGCAACUGCACCAAUUUGGCCAUGAUAGGCCUUGCUGAAACAAGCAUGUCAGGGUUCCUCCCUCCAAGUCUUGGUCGCCUCAAGAAGCUUCAGACACUUGCAAUCUACACCGCCCUCCUGUCAGGCCCAAUCCCCCCUGAGCUGGGUGACUGCACCGAGCUGCAAAACAUCUACCUAUACGAGAACGCGCUCACUGGAUCCAUCCCAGCCCGCCUAGGAAGCCUCCGGAACCUCCAGAACCUAUUGCUAUGGCAAAACAACCUGGUGGGCACCAUUCCACCGGAGUUGGGAAACUGCAAGCAAUUAGUAGUGAUUGAUAUAUCCAUGAAUUCCAUAUCCGGUAGAGUGCCUCAGACGUUUGGGAAUCUGAGCUUUUUGCAGGAACUUCAACUGAGCGUGAACCAAAUCUCAGGUCAGAUUCCAGCGCAAAUUGGGAACUGUCUCGGCCUCACCCAUAUCGAGCUCGACAACAACAAGAUCACUGGUACAAUACCUUCCUCUAUCGGUGGCCUAGUGAAUCUAACACUACUCUACUUGUGGCAAAAUAUGCUGGAAGGGAACAUACCUGAAUCGAUUUCGAAUUGCCGUAGUUUGGAAGCUGUUGAUUUUUCAGAGAACAGCUUGACUGGUCCGAUUCCGAAGGGGAUUUUCCAGCUCAAGAAGCUUAACAAGCUAUUGCUUUUAUCCAACAAUCUGGCCGGUGAGAUACCUCCGGAGAUUGGUGAGUGUUCGUCGUUGAUACGGCUCCGAGCGAGCGAUAACAAGCUGGCUGGAUCGAUCCCGCCACAGAUUGGGAAUUUAAAGAAUUUGAAUUUCUUGGAUCUGGCAUUGAAUCGCCUCACUGGUGUCAUACCGCAGGAGAUCUCUGGUUGCCAGAAUCUGACGUUCCUGGACUUGCAUUCCAACUCGAUUGCCGGAAACCUACCGGAGAAUUUGAACCAACUGGUUUCCCUCCAGUUCGUUGAUGUAUCUGAUAAUCUGAUAGAAGGGACUCUGAGUCCGAGUCUUGGAUCUCUGAGUUCGCUCACCAAGCUCAUUCUCCGUAAGAAUCGGUUGUCCGGUCUGAUUCCAAGUGAACUCAAUUCGUGCGCGAAGCUGGUGUUGCUGGACCUGAGUAGCAACGAUCUCACAGGUAAAAUUCCAUCCAGUGUGGGCGAGAUUCCAGCUCUGGAGAUCGCUUUGAAUCUGAGCUGGAACAAACUUUCCGGCAAAAUUCCGUCGGAGUUCACGGACUUGGAUAAGCUCGGAAUAUUGGAUCUCUCACACAAUCAGCUCUCCGGCGACCUCCAACCCCUCUUCGACCUCCAAAACCUCGUGGUCCUCAACAUCUCCUACAACAACUUCUCGGGGCGCGUGCCGGACACCCCUUUCUUCUCCAAGCUCCCACUGAGCGUCCUCGCCGGCAACCCCGCCCUCUGCCUCUCCGGCGACCAGUGCGCCGCCGACAAACGCGGUGGCGCUGCCCGCCACGCCGCGGCGGCCAGGGUGGCCAUGGUGGUGCUACUAUGCGCCGCCUGCGCGCUGCUCCUCGCGGCGCUCUACAUCAUUCUCGGGAACAAGAUGAAUCCACGUGGCCCCGGAGGGCCCCACCAGUGCGAUGGCGACAGCGAUGUGGAGAUGGCCCCCCCAUGGGAGUUGACCCUGUACCAAAAACUGGACCUCUCUAUCGCUGACGUGGUACGCUGCCUGACAGUUGCCAACGUCGUCGGCCGUGGCCGCUCCGGCGUCGUGUACAGAGCCAACACCCCCUCCGGCCUCACCAUCGCCGUGAAAAGAUUUCGCUCCAGCGAAAAAUUCUCCGCAGCAGCAUUCUCAUCCGAAAUCGCCACGCUGGCACGCAUCCGCCACCGAAAUAUAGUCCGACUGUUGGGGUGGGCGGCCAACCGAAAGACGAAACUCCUCUUCUACGAUUACUUACCAAGUGGUACAUUAGGCACAUUACUCCAUGAAUGCAACUCAGCCAUAGUUGAGUGGGAGAGUCGGUUCAAUAUAGCCUUGGGCGUGGCGGAGGGCUUAGCCUAUCUGCACCAUGAUUGUGUGCCACCCAUCAUCCACCGAGACGUCAAGGCUCACAACAUUUUGUUAGGGGACCGAUACGAGGCCUGCUUGGCGGACUUUGGGCUAGCCAGGUUGGUGGAGGACGACGAUGGCAAUGGGUCCUUCUCCGCCAACCCUCAAUUCGCCGGAUCCUACGGCUACAUUGCACCCGAGUACGCUUGCAUGUUGAAGAUAACCGAAAAGAGCGAUGUGUACAGCUUCGGGGUGGUUUUGCUGGAAAUCAUAACCGGGAAGAAGCCGGUGGACCCUUCAUUCCCUGAUGGGCAACAUGUAAUUCAGUGGGUCCGAGAGCAGCUAAAGAGCAAGAGGGACCCGGUUCAGAUACUGGACCCGAAGCUCCAGGGCCACCCAGAUACACAAAUACAAGAAAUGCUCCAAGCACUGGGGAUAUCCCUCUUAUGCACAAGCAACCGUGCGGAAGAUCGUCCUACAAUGAAAGAUGUUGCGGUUUUGUUAAGGGAAAUACGCCACGAGCCCAGCACAGGAACUGAGCCUCACAAGCCUAAUAGCAAUGGAUCCAAAAAGCCUGAAGCUCCUGCCUACUCCUCCCAACUCUUGCUCCUCCAAGGCUCUUCCCAGUACUCACUGGCAUAUUCAUCUUCCUCAGCUGGUUAUAAUGUCAAUAAUGAUGCUAGUGUGUGAUGACUGAUUGAAAAGGGUUCCGCUAGUGUUGUUUAUUGGGAAUUGGGGAGUAGGGAGACAUGGGUAUUGUAAAGAGUUAGCUAACAAGGUGAAACCGUGAUUCCGUGGAAGGCAAUUUCAUAGAGAGACAGAGACACUAGUGUUUUGCUUUCUUGUGAAGUCAAUUCCAUCAUUUCACUGAAAAGGACCACAAGGAUGUCCUGAAAGAUGUGUUUGUUGUGGUGUUUGCAAGAUUUAAAAGGCCUUUUUCUUGGCCUUUGGAGGAUGGGCUGGCUUCUCCUCUGUCUCUCUCCUUGGGGAUGUGUGGUUGUGGGGAAUUGUGGGCAAUGAUUGGUUUUCUCUUCCUCUUUCAUAAUUAAGGAUAAGGAGAAGGAGAAGUCUCCUUCGUUUCAUGCAAGUCUAUAGGUCCCCACCACGUGAACCAGAGACAUACAAAACACUAGAGAAGGUAUGGAAGCUUGCUGAGAUACAUUGGAUUUAUGAAAAAUUAAGCUGCUACAUCCAAAAGCAAACCAAAUGUCUUCCUUUCACCAACAACCAAUCGACUCCUGCAAAACCCAUUCAACCCAGUUCCAAAGAUUUGUGUCAAUUCUAUAUACACACUUAGUUCAUUUUUCACAUCUCAAUUCUUUAGUUUUACUGUUUCAAUCUUACCCUAAGAAAGGGACAUUGGUAGGUAAUAGAAGAAUCAUGAGAAGCAACAUAUCUCUUGUGUAACUCAAAAAGAAAAGGUGAUCCAACUUAAUCCUUACACAAUAAUCUACCAAGCCAUGCACUCAUUGCAUUAUUAGGGUUUUUUUCUU